AGGGAAGAAGCUACAAUUAGCAAUUAGUUGUUACCUAAUAGAAAGUGAUUAUUAUUCACCUUUCCUA
rnacentral:tRNA from 1 species